UACGUAGGUGGCAAGCGUUAUCCGGAUUUAUUGGGCGUAAAGGGAACGCAGGCGGUCAUUUAAGUCUGAUGUGAAAGCCUUCGGCUUAACCGGAGUAGUGCAUUGGAAACUGGGAGACUUGAGUGCAAAAGAGGAGAGUGGAACUCCACGUGUAGCGGUGAAAUGCGUAGAUAUAUGGAAGAACACCAGUGGCGAAAGCGGCUCUCUGGUCUGUAACUGACGCUGAGGUUCGAAAGCGUGGGUAGCAAACAGG
rnacentral:rRNA from 1 species